UACAGAGGGUGCGAGCGUUUAAUCGGAAUUACUGGGCGUAAAGCGCGCGUAGGCGGCUUUGCAAGCCGGAUGUGAAAUCCCCGGGCUUAACCUGGGAACUGCAUUCGGGACUGCAUUGCUAGAGUAUGGGAGAGGGAAGUGGAAUUUCAGGUGUAGCGGUGAAAUGCGUAGAUAUCUGAAGGAACAUCAGUGGCGAAAAGCGACUUCCUGGACCAAUACUGACGCUCAUGUGCGAAAAGCGUGGGGGAGCAAACAGG
rnacentral:rRNA from 1 species